rnacentral:rRNA from 1 species
GACGAACGCUGGCGGCGUGCUUAACACAUGCAAGUCGAACGGAAAGGCCCUGCUUGCAGGGUACUCGAGUGGCGAACGGGUGAGUAACACGUGGGUGAUCUGCCCUGCACUUCGGGAUAAGCCUGGGAAACUGGGUCUAAUACCGGAUAGGAGCCAUUUGUAGUGUGAUGGUUGGAAAGUUUUUUCGGUGUAGGAUGAGCUCGCGGCCUAUCAGCUUGUUGGUGGGGUAAUGGCCUACCAAGGCGGCGACGGGUAGCCGGCCUGAGAGGGUGGACGGCCACAUUGGGACUGAGGGGCGGCCCAAGCUCCGACGGGGGGCAGCCGGGGGGAAUAUUGCACCAGGGGCGCAAGGCGUAUGCAGCCGCGCCGCGGGGGGGAUAGCGGCCUUCGGGUUGUAGACUCCUUUCGCUAGGGGCCAAGGUUUUUUUGACGGUACCUAGAGAAGAAGCACCGGCUAACUACGUG